GGGAAUGUGGCUUAGUGGUAGAGUGUUUGCCUAACGUGCAUGAAGCCCUGGGUUCAAUUCCUCAGUACCA
rfam:Dipodomys ordii contig_60262, whole genome shotgun sequence.